rnacentral:tRNA from 1 species
GGUAGUAUAGCCGAGCGGUCUAAGUGCUGGAGUAAGGCUCCAGUCUCUUUGGAGUUGUGGGUUUGAAUCCCACCGCUGCCA